rnacentral:lncRNA from 1 species
CUGGGCUUUUGGUGGAGCAGCCAGUGGAAAUGGCCAGACGCACAGCAAGCAGUGGGCCCCAGCAUGUUCAAGGCAUGGCUCCAAAUCAUGAUGUGGAAAUUGGAAUGUCCUCCAGCUUGCAUUCAGCUGGAAUAGGAAGCAAUUGUGCUUCUUCACAAGGAAGCAUAUAUAUCUGCAGUACUGGCGGAGAUUCAUUCUGCACAAAGUGUGUCUGCUGGACCAGAGGCUGUGGUAAUGCCACGCUUUCACUCCAUAUGAUGAAGCACAUGACCUGGCAGAAUUUUC